rnacentral:piRNA from 1 species
UACAUUUCAAAUGUUAUCCCAACUCACAGAA